GCCGCUCUCUAGUCCCCUAAAUUCCAAACAUUCUGCGAUUACUGAGUGCAAGCCCAGGCUAGAGUGCCUACCUCCGACCUCAUUAAAGAUACGGAACCCAGGCAAGAGUCCUGCCUCUCCAAGGUGCCCCGUCCUGCAGUGGACACAUGUGCAGAGCACUUCAAAUGCAAAAAGAACCCAGCAGAAUGGUGGGCAAAGAGCAGAAACUAUAAGGGGACAAUGGAAGGGCUGGGAGAGUAUGACACCGUCCUGGCCGUGGCGGGGCAGAAAGAAGGGAAACGGAUUUGCAAAUACUGUCAUGCGUGAAGUGAAGGCCCAGCGAUGGCGUGGUGCUGCUUCACUGUGGUUCAGGGUGGUGGCAGUUGGGGGACACUUCGUUCUACAAGCAAAGAUUUCACGGCUGCAGGACACCCUCAUCCGUUACAUUAUUUUCACAUGAUUGACCAU
rnacentral:lncRNA from 1 species